rnacentral:rRNA from 1 species
GAUGAACGCUGGCGGCGUGCCUAAUACAUGCAAGUCGAGCGAACGGACGAGAAGCUUGCUUCUCUGCUGUUAGCGGCGGACGGGUGAGUAACACGUGGAUCACCUACCUAUAAGACUGGGAUAACUUCGGGAAACCGGUGCUACUACUGGAUAAUAUUUUGAACGGCUUGGUUCAAAAGUGAAAGACGGUUUUGCUGUCACUUAUAGAUGGUUCCGCGCUGCAUUAGCUAGUUGGUAAGGUAACGGCUUACCAAGGCAACGAUGCGUAGCCGGCCUGAGAGGGUGAUCAGCCACACUGGAACUGAGACACGGUCCAGACUCCUACGGGAGGCAGCAGUAGGGAAUCUUCCGCAAUGGGCGAAAGCCUGACGGAGCAACGCCGCGUGAGUGAUGAAGGUCUUCGGAUCGUAAAACUCUGUUAUUAGGGAAGAACAGAUGUAGAAGUAACUGUGGACAUCUUGACGGUACCUAAACAGAAAGCCACGGCUAACUUCGUG